UUUCCGUAGGUGAACCUGCGGAAGGAUCAUUAUUGUAUAACCGAGGUGCGAGGGCUGUCGCUGACCCGAAAGGUCGUGCACGCCCGAGUGCCCUCACACACAUCCAUCUCACCCCUGUGUGCACCACCGCGUGCGUCCCCCUUUGGCUUGUUCGGAGGGGGGCUUACGUGUUCACACAAACUUUGUAUGCAGUGUAGAAUGUAUUUUUUGUUUUUGCGAUCACGCAAUCAAUACAACUUUCAACAACGGAUCUCUUGGCUCUC
rnacentral:misc_RNA from 1 species